rnacentral:rRNA from 1 species
CAGGCCUAACACAUGCAAGUCGAGCGGUAGAAUAUUAAUUGACUCUUCGGAAGAUUUUAAUAUUUGAGAGCGGCGAACGGGUGAGUAACACGUUGGUAUCUGCCCCCAAGUCAGGGAUAGCCAUUGGAAACGAUGAUUAAUACCGGAUAGUCUCUUCGGAGUAAAGAUUUAUUGCUUGGGGAGGAGCCUGCGUUCUAUCAGCUUGUUGGUAGUGUAAAAGACUACCAAGGCUAUGACGGAUACCUGGUCUGAGAGGAUGAUCAGGCACAAUGGAACUGAGACACGGUCCAUACUCCUACGGGAGGCAGCAGUGAGGAAUCUUCCACAAUGGACGAAAGUCUGAUGGAGCGACACCGCGUGAAGGAUGAAGGCCUAACGGUUGUAAACUUCUUUUCUGAGGGAGCAUAAUGGGAGUACUUCAGGAAUAAGGGACGGCUAAAUACGUGCCAGCAGCCGCGGUAAUACGUAUGUCUCGAGCGUUACCCGGAAUCACUGGGUGUAAAGGGUUCGUAGGCGGAAUUAUAAGUCAGAUAUGAAAGACCGGAGCUCAACUCCGUGUUUGUGUUUGAAACUGUAGUUCUAGAAUUAGGGAGAGGUAAGCGGAAUUCUAAGUGUAGGGGUGCAAUCCGUAGAUACUUAGAGGAACACCAAAAGCGAAGGCAGCUUACUGGAACUAUAUUGACGCUGAGGAACGAAAGCGUGGGGAGCGAAAAGGAUUAGAUACCCUUG